UGGUCGUCGAAAUUUCUCUUUUGGAGCAGUCUCUUUGUUUAUAUUAUAAAACGUUUCAACAGAGUGGAAAUUCCAUUGGAAUUCUAUUGUGAAAAUUUGUCAAAUAACCAAGUUAACAUCGUCUAUGGAUUCAAAUGGCCGUAAUUAAAAUGAAAAAUAAAUAACGUAUAUAAAGAAAUAUUAAAAACUUACUAACAAUAAGUUAAAUGUAAAAAAUUCACAAGGUUUUCUUAUAUGGACAAAGGAGAAUAUAUUCACACUAGUCGCUGUCAUAUACAGUAUACGAAUGAGUACUGAAGAGACUGCGUGGUAUCAGCGGUCACCAAUAAUAGUUUAUAAAUAACACAGGAACAUACAAGACUAAUAAGACGUUACUUGUCGAAUUUUGAAAUUUUUGAAUUUUGAUAAUAAAUUAAAGUAUGAUGGAUCCAGCAAUUCGGUAUCACUUGCAAAAGACCAUUAAUUUGUGAUUUUAUAUGAAUCAUUUCAGACACUAUUCUUUUGUGGUAAUUUGUUUCAUGAUCUAAAAUUCUUUUGUUGUUUCAGUCAAAGGUGUGGUUUAGGUCCAUAAUAUGAGAGGAGAUAACUAAAUGUUUAGAAGCAUCAUAAUCAAUAUUUUUACUAUGUUCUUUCAUUCUUGUAUUUAGUUUCCUUUUGGUCUGGCCGACAUAAAAUGCAUCGCAGUCUUUACAAGCAAUUUUAUAUACGACAUUAUUCGUUGAUUCAACAGGGUUUUUUCUUUGUGUCGCCUGAUAAAGCCGGUUAAUUUGUUCAAACAUCUGUAUCCGAUUAAAAACUCAUUUUUGUCUAUAGGAGAUGUAACUACCUCAGAUACACUUUUAAUAUAAAAAAACGUGAUUCAAUACUUUUAACCGGAUUUCUCUUGACAAUCGAAUAUGUCGUCUUAUCAUUUAACAUAUUGAUUUUUUCAGUGUAACAUGUUUUGUCCAGUGCAACAGUAACAUUUCCUUUGUCAGCAUUAAUAAAAAUAAUGUCUGGAUUAUUCCGACAGAAUUGAAAAGUCGACUUAGACAAGCGAUUCAACUGUAAAUGUAAUUUAUUUAUUUGUUGUUUGUUAUCUAAAAAAUGAUUAAGUUGUGCAAUAACUGUGCUUCUACAGCUUUUAUUUUAUGUGUGAUACUCGCUCGCCGAAUGUUACUCUCGAAAUCCUUUAAUAUGAAUUCAAAAAUCGCGUCUUUUUUAUUCGAGCCGAUUUGAAGGCAAAAACCUGCACCAAGCUGUAAGAGGUUCAAAACUUCAUUUGGAAUCGCCUUUUCAGACAAGUUUAAGAACCACUUAGUGUCCAUAUAUUAUCAAUAGGACUGUUACUUGCAUGUGCAAAUUUUUCAGAUUUUAACGUAAUAUCACAAGUCAACGUGUCUAAAUCUGUACUGGUAAUAUUAGAACCAUAAGUCUUAACUUUUGUUAUAUCAUUAACAUUAACGUUAGCAUGGUACUAAUGGAUUUAAUCUUGAAAAUGACAUUCCGUUUCUCAGCAAGCAAUAAUCACGUUAGUUUAUCGUUGUUCUUAUUAAACAAUCUAUAGCGGUAAUUGUCAAAGGAUUUCGAGUGGUGUUUAAAAAUUUGAUUCCAGAUGUAAGUCGGCAACUCAUUAAAUAAAACUGUAGUUAACUCAUAUAACUCGUUAUUUAUGACAUUUAUCGUUCUAUGGAGGUCGAAAAUCUCGAUAUUCAAAUUCCUUAUACAGCCUUAACGUGGCAAGCAGCAGCGUACGAAUACGCAGGAACGAAUUCAAUCAUAAGACAAAGGAAAAGAAAAAGUCUAGAAUUCAGAACAUAAAGUUCUCGAUUGGAACAAGAAAGGGAAGAUUACUCUUGAUCCGGAAAUCGAAAAACAUUUUUCUGUGUUUUCCGCGAUUUCGGUUGAUUUAGGAAAUGACCUUUUGGAACAGUGUUUGCAACAACUAGAACAAUGUAUUGCGAAAAGACAUUUUUUAAUUUUUGAAAAAAGAGGGCCAGGUAAAAAACGUUUCUUUUUGUUCCGAAAUUUUCAUUUGACUUAUAGAAUCGUCUUUUUAGAACAAUUUAUAGAACAACUAAAACAAUCUAUAUCGAUAAGAAAUUAUUUGAUUUUUGAAAAAAGGACGGCAAGAUAAAAAAUUAUUUUUCUCGUUUUAUUGGAGAAUUGAUCGUUAUAAAACAAUAUUGCUUUGGAACAAUGUGGAACAAAGUUAGAACAACCUGAAACAACUUUAAAAAUUAUAAUUUUCAAAAAAAGGGGGGCUAACAUCAUACACUCCGCGGAUUGCGAAUCGAAAAUGCAGUAAUUGCAACUGUAAUUACGAUGUAAUAAGCAACGGGCAGAGUUUAGUAAUCGAUCGUUUAAGAAGCAAAGAAGCCUGUGGACUGUUACGACGCGAAUGAGAUUAUCCGCGCCCGCGUAAAUUUCGACAACGCGACCUUGGCAGAUGGAUACCGCUCGUCUCGAAUUAAGACAAGAGAUCCGAGUUCACCCAAUAAACGAUUUCGUUUUGGUAUUAAAAUUUGACCUCCAGUACUAAAUAGACGUUCUACUGGCGCUAAAGAAGGUAAAACUGUAUUAUACAAUUUAAAUAUUUAAAGUACUAUAUUAUAAUUAUGUAAAGAUUGUAACUCUUUAGAUUUAU